rnacentral:rRNA from 1 species
GACGAACCGUGCGAACGUUGUUCGGAAUCACUGGGCUUAAAGGGAGCGUAGGCGGGCUAUCAAGUCUGGGGUGAAAUGCCGCGGCUCAACCGUGGAACUGCCUCAGAUACUGACGGCCUCGAGGAAGAUAGGGGCAUGCGGAACUGUGAGUGGAGCGGUGAAAUGCGUUGAUAUUCACAGGAACGCCGGUGGCGAAAGCGGCGUGCUGGAUCUUUUCUGACGCUGAGGCUCGAAAGCUAGGGGAGCAAACGGG